rnacentral:pre_miRNA from 1 species
AUUUUACUCCCUCCGUUCGGAAUUACUUGUUGUAGAAAUGGAUGUAUCUAGAUGUAUUUUAGUUCUAGAUACAUCCAUUUUCGAGACAAGUAAUUCCGAACGGAGGGAGUAUUUG